UCACUCGUCAGAGAUCCUGCGUGUGAGACCGAUUUCCGCACAUGCGCAGUGGUUGCCUCAGAGCCCAGUCUACACCUAGGUAGCGGCAAGGUUGGUCCGCGAACGUCUGCGGCUAGGGACAGGUGGGUUCUAGAUACGCAGACACCUGUGCCUCAGCAUGGAGGAGAGUCUACCACCGAGCCCACAAGCCCAGACAUGGUUACCUUUUUGCGUGGCCGAAGCUUGUCCCGCCAUUCCUUCAGGUUCUGGUUAUGGCUCUCAUCUAGAGCCUUCAGCUUCUGAGUUUCAUGUUCUACCAGGAGGUGACACUUUUCAUUCUGGAACAAAUUCCAGGCAGAACAGAAGAAAUUCUGUGGUAAGGAUGAGGACAUGGACCUGACGCAUUCCCAACUUCACUGUUCUCUUAGGGUGGAGAAGCACCUUGCAGUUCCUAGCAGAGCCCACUCUCUGGUGCCCACCUCGAAGGAGUUCCUGCUUCUUAGUGAGACACUCGCGCUCCUUGUCACAGAUCUCCC